AGAUGUCUGAGGUGUUCGUUGUAAGUGCAAUGUGUGGACCGAACGCUUUAUGAAUAUAUCGGGAUUCUAUAUCGGUAAUUGGAUGACAGGCCUUUUCAUUUGGAAGUCAGAAAAUGCCGUGGGAAGCCCACCUGUAAUUACUUACAGGUCAAUACUCGUACUUACAUAAACGGCACCAUCGGAUAUUUU
rnacentral:other from 1 species